ACAUGCAGUCGAACGAUGACCUCCAGCUUGCUGGGGUGAUUAGUGGCGAACGGGUGAGUAACACGUGAGUAACCUGCCCUUAACUCUGGGAUAAGCCUGGGAAACUGGGUCUAAUACCGGAUAUGACUCCUCAUCGCAUGGUGGGGGGUGGAAAGCUUUUUGUGGUUUUGGAUGGACUCGCGGCCUAUCAGCUUGUUGGUGAGGUAAUGGCUCACCAAGGCGACGACGGGUAGCCGGCCUGAGAGGGUGACCGGCCACACUGGGACUGAGACACGGCCCAGACUCCUACGGGAGGCAGCAGUGGGGAAUAUUGCACAAUGGGCGAAAGCCUGAUGCAGCGACGCCGCGUGAGGGAUGACGGCCUUCGGGUUGUAAACCUCUUUCAGUAGGGAAGAAGCGAAAGUGACGGUACCUGCAGAAGAAGCGCCGGCUAACUACGUGCCAGCAGCCGCGGUAAUACGUAGGGCGCAAGCGUUAUCCGGAAUUAUUGGGCGUAAAGAGCUCGUAGGCGGUUUGUCGCGUCUGCCGUGAAAGUCCGGGGCUCAACUCCGGAUCUGCGGUGGGUACGGGCAGACUAGAGUGAUGUAGGGGAGACUGGAAUUCCUGGUGUAGCGGUGAAAUGCGCAGAUAUCAGGAGGAACACCGAUGGCGAAGGCAGGUCUCUGGGCAUUAACUGACGCUGAGGAGCGAAAGCAUGGGGAGCGAACAGGAUUAGAUACCCUGGUAGUCCAUGCCGUAAACGUUGGGCACUAGGUGUGGGGGACAUUCCACGUUUUCCGCGCCGUAGCUAACGCAUUAAGUGCCCCGCCUGGGGAGUACGGCCGCAAGGCUAAAACUCAAAGGAAUUGACGGGGGCCCGCACAAGCGGCGGAGCAUGCGGAUUAAUUCGAUGCAACGCGAAGAACCUUACCAAGGCUUGACAUGGGCCGGACCGGGCUGGAAACAGUCCUUCCCCUUUGGGGCCGGUUCACAGGUGGUGCAUGGUUGUCGUCAGCUCGUGUCGUGAGAUGUUGGGUUAAGUCCCGCAACGAGCGCAACCCUCGUUCCAUGUUGCCAGCGCGUAAUGGCGGGGACUCAUGGGAGACUGCCGGGGUCAACUCGGAGGAAGGUGGGGACGACGUCAAAUCAUCAUGCCCCUUAUGUCUUGGGCUUCACGCAUGCUACAAUGGCCGGUACAAAGGGUUGCGAUACUGUGAGGUGGAGCUAAUCCCAAAAAGCCGGUCUCAGUUCGGAUUGGGGUCUGCAACUCGACCCCAUGAAGUCGGAGUCGCUAGUAAUCGCAGAUCAGCAACG
rnacentral:rRNA from 1 species